rnacentral:rRNA from 1 species
UACGAAGGGAGCUAGCGUUGUUCGGAAUCACUGGGCGUAAAGCGCACGUAGGCGGAUGUGUCAGUCAGGGGUGAAAUCCCGGAGCUCAACUUCGGAACUGCCUUUGAUACAGCACAUCUGGGGUCCGGAAGAGGUGGGUGGAAUUCCUAGUGUAGAGGUGAAAUUCGUAGAUAUUAGGAAGAACACGGUGGCGAAGGCGGCCCACUGGUCCGGUACUGACGCUGAGGUGCGAAAGCGUGGGGAGCAAACAGG